CACCACAACAGAUGGAGCCUGCGGUUUAAUCGGACUCAACGCCGGGAAACUCACCAGAUAAGACAGCUGAAUGAUAGUCGGGCUGAAGACUCUACUUGACUAGCUGAGAGGAGGUGCAUGGCCGUCGUCAGUUCGUACUGUGAAGCAUCCUGUUAAGUCAGGCAACGAGCGAGACCCACGCCAACAGUUGCCAGCUCGUCCUCCGGGAUGGUGGGGACACUGUUGGGACCGCCUCUGCUAAAGAGGAGGAAGGAAUGGGCAACGGUAGGUCAGCAUGCCCCGAAUUAUCUGGGCUACACGCGGGCUACAAUGGGUGGGACAAUGGGUAUCGACACCGAAAGGUGAAGGCAAUCUCCUAAACCCAUCCGUAGUUCGGAUUGUGGGCUGCAACUCGCCCACAUGAAGCUGGAAUCUGUAGUAAUCGCGCAUCAGCCAUGGCGCGGUGAAUACGUUCCCGGGCCUU
rnacentral:rRNA from 1 species